UCGAUUUGGAGUUUGUUGCCUAGAGUGAUGGGCUCCGAAGCUAACGCGAUAAAUCGACCGCCUGGGGAGUACGGCCGCAAGGUUAAAACUCAAAUGAAUUGACGGGGGCCCGCACAAGCGGUGGAGCAUGUGGUUUAAUUCGAUGCAACGCGAAGAACCUUACCUGGUCUUGACAUCCACAGAAUCUUUCAGAAAUGAGGGAGUGCCUUCGGGAACUGUGAGACAGGUGCUGCAUGGCUGUCGUCAGCUCGUGUUGUGAAAUGUUGGGUUAAGUCCCGCAACGAGCGCAACCCUUAUCCUUUGUUGCCAGCGAUUAGGUCGGGAACUCAAAGGAGACUGCCGUUGAUAAAACGGAGGAAGGUGGGGACGACGUCAAGUCAUCAUGGCCCUUACGACCAGGGCUACACACGUGCUACAAUGGCGUAUACAAAGGGAAGCGAAGGUGCGAGCUGGAGCGGACCUCCUAAAGUACGUCUAAGUCCGGAUUGGAGUCUGCAACUCGACUCCAUGAAGUCGGAAUCGCUAGUAAUCGUGAAUCAGAAUGUCACGGUGAAAUACGUUCCCGGGCCU
rnacentral:rRNA from 1 species